UACAAAAAAAGGCAAGAGAAGGUUGUGGGAGGAGACCAUGCUGUAUUUCCAAAUAGUAACACUGUUUUAAGAUCUAGUUGUAUUUUCAGAGGGCAUUGCCAAACUAGUACAGGAGCAGGGAAGAAUCCUCAAAUCCUCUUCUUUCAAAUAGAUAUUAAGAAUUACUGUUCUAUUUUUACAGGUUAUCUUAUGAAUGAAAGAGCUGAACAGAUUGUUCAUGAAUUCUAGAGGGCACCUAGGUUGAAGCCAUGGAGAGAAUGGAGCUGUGGAGAUGUCUCGUAAGAGCCCUUUUGCCUCCUGGCUUUGUGCGAUGCUGCACUGCUUUGGAAGUUACAUACUGGCUGAUCUGUUACUUGGAGAAUCACCUAUUGAUUACUUCAGUAAUAACUCCAGUGUCAUCCUGGCCACAGCAGUCUGGUAUUUGAUAUUCUUCUGUCCCAUGAACCUCUUCUACAAGUGCGUUAGCUUUCUGCCUGUGAAGCUCAUCUUUGUGGCAAUGAAGGAGGUGGUCAGAGUUCGCAAAAUUGCAGCUGGGGUCCACCACGCUCAUCACCGUUACCACCACGGGUGGUUCAUUAUGAUGGCUAUCGGAUGGGUCAAAGGUUCUGGUGUUGCCUUGAUGUCUAACUUUGAGCAACUGCUGCGUGGGGUCUGGAAGCCAGAAACAAACGAGAUUCUUCGUAUGUCCUUCCCUACAAAGGCUAGUCUGUAUGGCACAGUCCUCUUCACUCUGCAACAAACUCACUGGCUCCCCGUCUCUGAAGCCAACCUCAUCUUCUUUUUCACCAUGUUCAUGAUAGUUUGCAAGGUUUUCAUGACGGCAACUCACUCUCACGCCUCACCUUUUGCUCCGGUGGAAAGCUUCCUCUGCCCAGUUUUCUUUGGCUCUGUUUCCAGUGGACACAGUAGUCAUCAUCAUCAUCAUCAUCACCAUGAUCAGCAUGGGGCCUCCCAUGAGGCUUCCCAUCCUCCGCCUCCUCCUGCAAAGUCAAAAGAGGAGCUAAAUGAAGGCACAAGGAAACGGAAAGCAAAAAAAGCUGAAUAAAAAAGUAGGCACGCAGUAAAUAGGCCAAGAAAAUUCUUCCAGAGCUGAGUCUCAAAGCCAGCUGUGACCUCCUUUAUCCUCCAGUCCUUCUCUCUCAGACUCCAGAGAAGAGGUGGAAGCCAAGACACUGCCAGGCGGGUCCCUGCAUUUCAUUUGUGCUCUCUGUGCUGCUGCUUGCUUCUUGGUCUCUGUCUCUCUAGUCUGAUCAUAUUUUCAGGGAUUUGUAGAUUUGUGCCAGGAUGAUAAGUGGGUGCCAGUUCCCAAGCUGUCAGCAAUUAUGAUGCAGCAUUUUCAAUUGACAAAAAAAUCUUUCACUGUGUUUGUUUAUGAAUGGAGGUAAUGGUUUGUGCUUCUGCAACUCAUAAGUUCCUUUGAGUUUUCAUUGACCUUUUUGAUGUCUACUAAAACAACAAACUGUUUAGACACAAUCAAUGUGGAAAUUGGAUUUCAUACUCAAGGAAAUUAAAUGGUCUCAUAUGAGCCUGAUCUGAUUUUUCCUAGCUCCCACAUCUGCCAUAUCUCCAACUAAUGUGACAUUUUAUAUGCAAUAAGGACAUCGACUCUGGUGUCCUGGCUGAACUCCGUUUCUCUCACCUCAGUUCCCUCCGAUUCCUAAUGGACAGAGCUAAGUCUGGGUUUGCAAGAGCUUUGAAGCUGUGAAAUGCUCCGAGUACGAUGUAUUGGUACUGUUGUUAUUCUAAACUGUUGUGUAGCGUUGCUGCACGUUGUUAAUAACGGCGUGUCCCACCUCAAACCUGAUCAUAUUGAACUAGGGAAGAAGCAUGGUUCUGGUUUGUUUGUAAUCCUGUGGGACACAAGAAGGGUGUGUGAGUGUAAAUAAGUAUUUAUUACUAUUUAUUUAUAAUUGCCAGGGCACCGAAUUCAUGGACCUGAAACUGGCUUUUUAAAAUGUUGCAUCUUUAUAUAGACAAUUGGAUACUUUGAAGUUCGGUCCUAAGCCUGCAGCUACAUGCUGGCCUGUGCUCGAAGCAGGGAUUUUGGUGUGCUAAAGGACAGCCUGAAUGCUCAACUGGAUGCAGGAAGGAACAUUUCCUAUAUUCUUAAGUUAAGAUAUAAAGGCUGAAGAAGCGGAUUUCACACCAGCUGAUUAAACCUACUUUAAAGGACUGAUAAAAGUGCGCCAGCUGAAGAUACUGAUUGUAGGUUUGUAGGUUCUUUGUAGGUUCCUUACAGCCAAACCACCGGUCUGUGAAAGCAGCUUGUGCCCAAUGAGUGAGGAAGAAUAUGAAAUGCCUUGCAUGGCUCAGGGAGGAGUCUGUCAGUCCGUUCAUGUUCUGCUUAGUGAAUACUGGCUUUUAGACUAGUUUUAAGCUGUUCUUAUACCUGAUUUUGUUCUUAAAAGUGUCAUCUUAAGCAUUGUACCCAAAAGGUCAGAACUUGUUCUGAGGUUUUUUUAAUUGCCAAGGGCUGGGAUCGCUGCGGUGAAAAUGGUGUGCAUGGGGAUGUAGCCCUGGGCUCUCAGUUGAGCGGGAUGUUGCCAUCCCUAGCAAUAACGUUUGCUGCUGUCAUCUGGCAACUGGGAAUAUAAAUAGGAGAAUGUAAGAAAAGCUUUUGUGUGUGUGUGUGUGUCCCCAUUCAAAAUUGACGGUCAAUUAAAAAAAAAAAAUUUAAAAAUUCCUUGUAUACAACCAGAUGAAAGCCAGUACAAAAGGUCAAAUGAUUUGUGGGCUUGGGUUUUGACAGUGCCUUAAUUUUGUGAGUUUGCCUCCCCUUCAGUAGAAAACAGGAAUUCUGACAACUCCACUGUCUGGUUUUGCAGAUACUGGUCUACUGAAACCUGAUGUAUCACUAGCAUGCACAAGACUAUAAAUGUUUCAUGAGAUGUCUGAUUCAAGGGGAAUUUUGUUUUAUAAAAGCCGUCAACAAAUAAAAAUUGUGAAGUGACUCUGACUGUAACCACUGGCACUUGAGGCAACGUGCGUGUUUCUUUUACUCUAGCCAGACUCAGAAGCCACAGGCUCCUCGAUCCACUUAAAGUCUCCUCGGCCUGAUGACAAAGUGAUUCUAACUGAAGAUCAAACUUUGAUAUGUCCCACAGGACACGGAGAAAGCAGCAUUUCUUAUGGGAAAAGUGAUACUGAACAAAUACAGAAACACCUAUUGAAGCAAAAGGAAACGGCACGUGAAGUGCUGUGAAUACUGGAAAACAGACCAGCAUGGAAGGCAGACACUGAGAAGCAUGCUCUGAACGUGAGGUGGAGACACCUAUUCCAACAGGGCCUCUGCCGAGAGGGCUGCAGCAGUUACCUCCUCUCCCUGUGCAUUCCAAGGGCAUUUGGACAAAGAUGUUAUUUUUCCACUUGUUCUCUGUGGAUAGCUUCCAUUUCCUGCCUUUGAGCUUGUAAAUUAUUCAAUUUUUCUUUCUACCUUUUCCCAUGUGCUGUUUUUUUGGGGAUGGUACCCCCGUCCAGACGUAGCCAUAAAGUAGUAAAUAUUUCUUGUGCACAGUUUAAACGCCUUAGUAAAUUCACCCUUGCACAGCUUGACAGAAGGCAAAGGGUGACAGGGCAUAGGCAUAGUCCCUGGGUAUUAAGGAACCUACCUUAAAUGGCUGAGUGCCUGAACCGUAAGUGAUAGUAGUACAGGUAGGCUUACCCGAUGCUAAAAUACACAGAUGAGUAUUUCUAAAAUAGUCAAGGGUAGCGAACAAAGGGACCUCAGGUGUACACACAGCACCUGCAGGGAGCACAUUUAGUGUCUUCAAAAAAGAUCCUGGGGAUUCUGCCCAAGUGACAAACACCGGUUGCUAUAGAGAUAUCUGUCCUCUUCAAAUACAGACGGAUCGCUCCAGGACGCGGUGAAGUUUCACUGCAUCUCAGUGCAGACAGUCAAUCAUCUCCUACUGUCCCUGUCAAAGUAGCUGAAAUUUUCCCAGGCUUUCCUUAAAAGAAGGAGCUUUCUGGAGAGCAGCACCACUGACGUGUUCAGUGCCGUUAGUCAUCUCCUCUCUAACGAGCAGUCUCUGCUGGGGAGAACUCAGGGAAUCCAGAUACACGCCGGGAUCUUCUCUGUGGGAAGAUGGUUCCUCUUCCGUUCCAGCCCUCCAGCAACAUUCAUCAGCUCAGUUUUUUCAGGUAAAUAAGCUGAAAAAUCCAGGUCCUCUCUCUGCUAGAGUCUGCAAAGCGUUACGAUGUGGUGAGACCACUGUGCUUGGCAGAGAAGCUGUAAGCUUGCAGCUUCAUUUGAAAGUGAAGAUGCCUAUAAUCUGCUGCCUUUUAUAUACAGCUUUAUUCUGUCCCACCCAAUUUGCACUUGGAACAUGUCAGAGAUGGCAGAAUUCUGCAUUAAUUCAGGAACUAACGGCAUUUGCAGUGAAGCCAAAUUCAGCCUAGGCACUACUGUGCAACAGCAGCUCAGUGCAGCGCAAUGCUGGUCUGCACACCACACAGCAAAGCAUGCAGGCUUUCUCCAAACCCCGAGCAACACACAUUUGAUUCCCAUCCACCACUGUAACAGCAAGAAAUAUUUGUGAAGAACUUCUCUUCUUGGACAAUAUCCAACUAUUUCCCACUUCCUCUGCCUACUGGGACACAGUUGCCAGACUGAGCUCCUAAAGUAACUGGCAGUGGGUAGCAAUGACUCAGAUUUUCAGGAAUUACAAAACUCCAUUUCCCCUUCUUCUGAAAAUCAUUCACCCUGUCUCCAUUUUUAAAUAAGAAAACAUAGGCUUAGAUGGGCUCUCAAUUGCACAAAAAGUGCCUUCCAAAGAAAGCAAACACUGCAGCAUCCCCCCCAGUAGGAGAUAACACGAUGAAUAUGCUGUUUGGACAGUGAGGUGUUUCCAGCCUAAGCAUUUACAGGUCAGAAUUUACAGAAAUGGUUACAGCUGCAGUUUCUGGAAGGAAUGCAUGAGAACUGCAGACAACCUGAAAGUAGCAGGCAUAUGAGGACACAGCUGGUGUUAAGAUUUUAUUUGCAACACCUGUCCAAGUUGUGGUAGACCUCCUGUAUUUUCAGGAACGGUUUUGGGAUGAAGGAUGUGAUUGGAUUUUUAGAAAAAAAAAAAAGACAGGAUUGUAAGUCAAACCCACUCUCUCACUGCAAAGUUUGGAAUUCAUGUGGGCUGGAGUGUAAAGCGAUACAAGGAUUUCCCGUAACUACUGCAACCUUCGUGAGAGCUAAUGAAUUAUUCCAGGGAUAUUACGCUGAGAGUGCUUGCUCCCCGUUGGACAGUAGUGUAGACACGAUAAUUCCUAACCCAAGGGAGCCCUCUCCUCGUCUGACACUGGCACAGACUUCAUUAGUGAUCACUUUUCACUUACAACAGUCCCAAGGAAAGCUGCAGAUACAGCCAUUCCACGUCCUAAUUUUAGCAUUCUCUCUUGUACUACUUUAUCGCAUGAUUAUGUAGUGCCAUGAAUGUUUACAUAAUUUGGGGGAGAGAAUAUUCCAGUUCAGAAGAAAUUACAAUCUCACAUGACAAAACAUACGUAAGGAGAAAAACGUCCUUUAUAUUCCCCAUGUCUUUCAAUUUGGCAGGUGUGAAAAGUGCCCGUGAAUGUAAGACCCGUGUAUUAGGGAACAGCAGAGAGUGCGUGCGUGCAGGCACUGGGCAUGAGCACUCAUGCUUGUAUUCAGGUGCUUACCUUUUCUCCUACUUGCUUUGUCUUAAUUUAUCUUAAAUUUACCUAGUUUGUUGUUUGAUUUAAUUCAGUGAGUAAGUCACUUAAAAGGUGUCACAAAGAUUUUUCUAGAAAGCGGUAAUCUCUCUUGUAAAAAGCACAGCAGGGGAAGCAGCCAUAAAAAUUUCACAGACUUGACUCUGUAUGAAAAGAUUCCCUGUGGGUAGAAUUGCCUUUUAUUGUGCCUAUUUAUCACUGCUGAGAUGGCCAACAGUGUGGCUGAGUGGUCCUAAAAUAGGACGGAGGAUUUGCCGCAGCAAGAUGUAAGAAAUAUACUUUGCUGGAUCAAUGCUGCUCUGUUGUAUUCUGUAACGAUGUAAUCCAAAAUUUCCAGAUCCAGAGUUUUCAUAUUAGCAAAUAAAACCACAGUGGGACAAGCCAGUAUAGAACCUUGAAAAUGCACUCGCAUUGGUAAUGUAGUAACAUGGGCACAAACCUGCAGAGAUCUGGAAACCACGGUUUUACAAGACUUAACCACUAUGUCAUCUAUAUGAAAAUCAACACCCAUUAGAUGAUAGCAACACAAACUGCAUUUUUGCUGUAAGGUCUAAUGUGACACAUAGACAAAGUAAAAACCCAGCUCCAAAUUCCUAACUUCUGGUGUGCUGCACAAAUCCUUCCAUCCAGACAUGGCUACAGAGAGACCCUCCUGGAGAAAGCAUACCCAGAAGCAGGGCCUAGUGUUUGAGGUAAACCACUUCUCUCCUGCCUGUCCUGUCCAAAGGCCAACAAAACUGUGGGACACAGGAGAAAAAAA